GACAGAGGUGCCGAGCGUUAGGCGGAAUCACUGGGCUUAAAGCGUGUGUAGGCGGGUCGUUAAGUGCCUUGUGAAAUCCCACAGCUCACCUGUGGAACUGCUUGGCAUACUGGCGAUCUUGAGCCACUUAGGGGCAACCGGAACAAACGGUGGAGCGGUGAAAUGCGUAGAUAUCAGGAGGAACACCAAUGGCGAAGGCAGCUCACUGGGACGGUAUUGACGCUGAUGCGCGAAAGCGUGGGGAGCAAACAGG
rnacentral:rRNA from 1 species